rnacentral:rRNA from 1 species
GUAUACUUAUUCUUAAGUCUUAAAGACUGGAUUACUAGUAGAUAUAUUCUUGAAAUUCAAAGAAUUUGGCGGUAUCUUAAUCUUAUUAGAGGAACCUGUUUUAUAAACGAUAAACCACGAAGAAUCUUAUUUGUUUUAAGUAGUUUGUAUACCGUCAUUAUUAGAUAAUUUUGAGAAAAUCAAUUAUUGAAAUUAAAGCGAAUAACUUUAAAUAUAUUANAUCAAGGUGCAGCUUAUAGACAAGGCGAAAUGGGUUACAAUANACUAGUUUAGACGGAGGUCACUCUUAUAAUGGGUUUCUGAAGGCGGAUUUAAUUGUAUAUUUAA